UCGWAACCUGCAGAGCAGAACGACCCGCGAACACGUUUACCAACCCCCGAGGGGCGGGGCUCGCCCCGUCCCCUCGGAGCCGGAACGCGCCUCCUCCUUCUCCCCGUCGAAAGGGAUGCGGGACGGCGCGCGACGGCAAGUACCCAAACACCGGCGCGGGUUGCGCCAAGGACUAUGGAAUUCUACCGCGUCCCGCGGCCUCGGGCGACCGGGUGCUGCGGCGUCGCGUCGAAAAUAAAACAGAACGACUCUCGGCAACGGAUAUCUCGGCUCUCGCAUCGAUGAAGAACGUAGCGAAAUGCGAUACUUGGUGUGAAUUGCAGAAUCCCGUGAACCAUCGAGUCUUUGAACGCAAGUUGCGCCCGAAGCCAUCCGGCCGAGGGCACGUCUGCCUGGGCGUCACGCAUCGCGUCGCCCCCUCCCCCUCCCCUGCGGAGCGGAGAGAGGGGCGGAGUAUGGCCCCCCGUGCGCACCCGCGCGCGGCCGGCCUAAACACGGAGCCCGUGGCCGCGAGCGCCGCGACGUUUGGUGGUUGAAUCUCGAGCAUCGCGUCGCGUGCCGGAGCGCACUCGGAGAGCUCGCAGGACCCUUAGGCGCGUCAGCCUACCCUUGCGACCCC
rnacentral:rRNA from 1 species